CUCGCGGAGACUGCCACAAGCCCGGACAACCCGCGCCGCUCGCCUCCCGGCGCGGGGGGGUCUCCACCGGGGGCAGCGGUCGCGCCUUCCGCCCUGCAGCUCUCUCCGGCCGCCGCCGCCGCCGCCGCUCACAGACUGGUCUCAGCGCCGCUGGGCAAGUUCCCGGCUUGGACCAACCGGCCGUUUCCAGGCCCACCGCCCGGCCCCCGCCUGCACCCGCUCUCCCUGCUGGGCUCUGCCCCUCCGCACCUGCUGGGACUUCCCGGAGCCGCGGGCCACCCGGCUGCCGCCGCCGCCUUCGCUCGGCCAGCGGAGCCCGAAGGCGGAACAGGUGACUGCUGAUGCCUUGGAAGUGGAGAAAAAGUUACUCAAGACAGCUUUCCAGCCCGUGCCCAGGCGGCCCCAGAACCAUCUGGACGCCGCCCUGGUCUUAUCGGCUCUCUCCUCAUCCUAGUUCUUUAAAAAAAACAAAAAAACAAAAAAAACUUUUUUUAAUCGUUGUAAUAAUUGUAUAAAAAAAAUCGCUCUGUAUAGUUACAACUUGUAAGCAUGUCCGUGUAUAAAUACCUAAAAGCAAAACUAAAC
rnacentral:lncRNA from 10 species